UCGAACUCUGAUGUUGGAAUCUUCUUAUAUGCUUUUACUUUUCUGUUCAUGUUCUUCCUGUGAAUUACAUCGAGGAUAUGGAUAUGCAAAAAAUGUGUCACUAUCUCUCCUCCCUGUAUGCAUAUAAGAAAACCAGAUAGGCAGCAAUGGGACGUGAAAAAACAAGAGAGGCAGCGAUGGGGCAUGCACGGGAUGUGAAUUACAAGAGGUUUAUUGUGACUUCGAUGCCUCUUACUAAAUUUGGUUGGGUCAUUCACAGGCUUAAAAUCUGAUUGGCAUUGUUCCUGCCUUCCUGGGGUAUGAUUAGGCUGUUUUGCUGAUAACACAUCCGGAUGAUAAGACUGUUUCGCUAACCAUAUACAAUCCUUUAACUGGGGUAAUGUUUGAAGAGGUAUUUACAAGCUCUUCUCUAUUUUUCCAAUUGAAAAUAUCAGUGCAAUUUAAUUUAGUGGAUUUCGCCGUUUGGUAUUGUAAAUAUGACUGUAGCAUCGUUUUCUCCAACAGUGUGAGUGUCAUGCCCAUGGUACAUUUCAUCAAAUUUGAAGAACAUCGGGUAAUAUUUGAAGAAAUAUGAUAAAAAGCUCUGUAUUUUUCCAACUUGCUUAUUCACCUCAGAUCCUAACUUAUUCAACAUUGAAGAAGAUAGGAGCUAAGCCAUCCAUCUAUUGAGAUUUAUUUGGAUGUGCGGAAAACCUUCUGUUAUAAUGUUUGUGUGAACAAAGAUAAGCCUUUCGUUAUGUCAAGCUUGGGAUUUUUUUUCUCAGGUUCUGUUUUAGCCAAUUUUAGCAAGUCAUUUCAUUGGCCCUAAUUUUUGAUCUAAGCUAAUCUUUCAAUCAACUUUAACAAGUACAUCAAAGCAGCAUGCCAUCGGCGAGUUAGAACAUGACAGACUCGACUGGCUAGAUUCAGUUAAAUGUAAUAUGAGCCCAGCCUCUUUUUUACUCUAAUUCAAUCCAAAAAUCCCCUUUCUGGAAAUAACAUAUGUGGGCUGCUGGGGCCUCUCUUUUGUACAAAUAGUCUCUAGGUAAUGGGGAAAAUAUAAAUUGGUAGAGUGGGGACUACGGGACUAUAUACUCCCUCUGAACUCAAUUUUGGAAUUUGUUUUCAGGAUGGCACACUUUGGUGGCUCCCAGAUUUCCUUCAAAGCAUUAAGUUGAUGAAACCAGUUCUGUUUCGUCAGCAGCCUCUCUCUCUCUCUCUCUCUCUCUCUCUCUCUGGGUUGGUUGUUUGACCAGUGCUGUCUUCUUAUGAUUCUCCCUGAACACAUGUUUGUUGUGAUAUUUCUAAGACUGUGGUCUAUUUUUUCUGACACUUUAGAGUGUGACCUGAGAAACUAUCCAAGAUAUUAUAUUUGCUCUAAACAGGGAUGAACCGAAAUGCACUAUUAUCAAUAUAUGUGCUUCUGCAGUUCUGUGGUCUAUUUGGAAGCUGCCUAACAAUCUCCGUUUUCAGGGAAAACAAUGAAGAAGUUUGACCUGCAUUUGGGAUGCAGCGAUCUGUUACGUACACUUUGGUGCCUCCCAGAUAUCCUUCCAUGUAUUGUACUUAGCAUGAAAGACAUAUUGCCUCCUAUCGCCAAGAACGAAUGAAGCCUCGUGACCGGGUGUAUACGUGAGCACGCAUCCAUUGGUUGACACGUGUCACAUCUAGCAAUCCACUGUUACCAUCAUUGUUGGGUUAGCAAACCACAUCAGCACAAACAACACUUCGCUAAUGAUUUCGCUAAUGAUUGGCGCUACCAAUCAUUGAAACGCGGGACCCGCAGCCCACGCCAAGUAUGCUUAGCGAUGGAUAAGACAACGUCAAGGCAACAGAUCCAAUUGACAAGAACCGGAUCUCAACGCAGAUCGUGUGGCAUCUAGAGGGUGCUCACGUAUACACCUAGUCACCAAAUCCCCUCUCUCGCCAAGAAUUGCACGACAUUCUCAUCUAUGGGAGGUUUAAAGAACACUCAUUCGUAUUUGGCUACAUACAUUGCCAUUUCUUUUGUGGUUAGACGAUCAGACAAUUACAGGAUUAUGGGCAGCCAUAUCUGGAUGAGAUUGCUGGCAACUAUGGUCAGCUACUCACUUAUGGGCACUGCUAUAUGGCUGACUUGGAGCAUGUUUGUGAGUUUACCCCUUCUAAUGUAGGUGCUCAAUUUUGGAUGUAUCUGUACAAGGAGACAUAGCUCCAGCUCCUGAACAUUUUACUCUAAAAGACUUAAGCUUUCAUCGCUGCUAUACAUGGUAGCAGUGAACUGUACAUAGUAUGGCAGUGUCUAUUGCCACUAGAACCGAUGUUGUAUACCAGUUUAAUCUUUUCUCUCUGUUCAACCUGCAUCCUGUUUCUGUCA